rnacentral:rRNA from 1 species
GAUGAACGCUGGCGGCGUGCCUAACACAUGCAAGUCGAGCGUGAAGGUUCGGAUUGAGGCUUCGGCCAAGAGAAGGACUGGAAAGCGGCGGACGGGUGAGUAACACGUGAGCAAUCUGCCUUUCACAGGGGAAUAACACUGGGAAACCAGUGCUAAUACCGCAUGAAGUCCAUGCCUGGCAUCGGGGAUGGACCAAAGGAGAAAUCCGGUGAAAGAUGAGCUCGCGUCCGAUUAGGUAGUUGGUGAGGUAACGGCCCACCAAGCCUACGAUCGGUAGCCGGACUGAGAGGUUGAACGGCCACAUUGGGACUGAGACACGGCCCAGACUCCUACGGGAGGCAGCAGUGGGGAAUAUUGGGCAAUGGGGGAAACCCUGACCCAGCAACGCCGCGCGAAGGAUGAAGGCUUUCGGGUUGUAAACUUCUUUGAUCAGGGACGAAUAAAUGACGGUACCUGAGGAACAAGCCACGGCUAACUACGUGCCAGCAGCCGCAGUAAGAC